AACGCAGCCGCUCCCCACCACCAGCGGGGCGUGCUUCGUGACCAGUGACAACCAGCGCGGCCAGGCCAGCGUAGCUGCCCUCGGCACCUUGGUGCCGGCAGACACCAUCAGCUGGCAACCAGCAGCCAGGACCUCUGGAGCGGCCCUGCAGGGC